UACAGAGGUCUCAAGCGUUGUUCGGAUUCAUUGGGCGUAAAGGGUGCGUAGGCGGCGCGGUAAGUCGGGUGUGAAAUCUCGGAGCUUAACUCCGAAACUGCAUUCGAUACUGCCGUGCUUGAGGACUGGAGAGGAGACUGGAAUUUACGGUGUAGCGGUGGAAUGCGUAGAUAUCUGGAGGAACACCGGUGGCGAAGGCGACAUCCUGGACCAAUUCUGACGCUGAGGAGCGAAAGCCAGGGGAGCAAACAGG
rnacentral:rRNA from 1 species